AUUGAACGCUGGCGGCAGGCUUAACACAUGCAAGUCGAACGAGUGGCGGACGGGUGAGUAAUGUUUGGGAAUCUGGCUUAUGGAGGGGGAUAACUACGGGAAACUGUCGCUAAUACCGCGUACCAUCGGAUGUGCCCAGGUGGGAUUAGGUAGUGGGUGGGGUAAUGGCUUACCUAGGCGACGAUCCCUAGCUGGUCUGAGAGGAUGACCAGCCACACCGGGACUGAGACACGGCCCGGACUCCUACGGGAGGCAGCAGUGGGGAAUAUUGCGCAAUGGGGGCAACCCUGAUGCAGCCAUGCCGCGUGAAUGAAGAAGGCCUUCGGGUUGUAAAGUUCUUUCGGUGAGGAGGCGUUAAUCGCAGAAGAAGCACCGGCUAACUCCGUGCCAGCAGCCGCGGUAAUUC
rnacentral:rRNA from 1 species